rnacentral:rRNA from 1 species
CCUACGGGAGGCAGCAGUGGGGAAUAUUGGGCAAUGGGCGAAAGCUUGACCCAGCAACGCCGCGUGAAGGAAGAAGGUUUUCGGGUUGUAAACUGCUUUUAAGAGGGAAGAGUAGAAGCCGUUACCUCUUAAAUAAGCCACGGCUAACUACGUCCCAGCACCCGGGGGAAUACGUAGGUGGCAGGCGUUGUCCGGAUUUACUGGGUGUAAAGGGCGUGUAGCCGGGCCGGCAAGUCAGUUGUGAAAUCCCAGGGCUCAACCUUGGAACUGCAUUUGAAACUGUUGGUCUUGAGUAUCGGAGAGGCAGGCGGAAUUCCUAGUGUAGCGGUGAAAUGCGUAGAUAUUAGGAGGAACACCAGUGGCGAAGGCGGCCUGCUGGACGACAACUGACGGUGAGGCGCGAAAGCGUGGGGAGCAAACAGGAUUAGAUACCCCGGUAGUC